UGUAUCACUGACGAUGAUUUGGCUCCCUCUACUGAAUACUGUAAGGAGAUUGCCACCGUUACCCAAUUUCUGUCUUGAGAUACA